rnacentral:rRNA from 1 species
GAUCAUGGCUCAGGAUGAACGCUAGCUACAGGAUUAACACAUGCAAGUCGAGGGGCAGCAUGAACUUAGCUUGCUAAGUUUGAUGGCGACCGGCGCACGGGUGAGUAACGCGUAUCCAACCUUCCGUUUACUCAGGGAUAGCCUUUCGAAAGAAAGAUUAAUACCUGAUAGUAUGGUGAGAUUGCAUGAUAGCACCAUUAAAGAUUUAUUGGUAAACGAUGGGGAUGCGUUCCA